rnacentral:rRNA from 1 species
AUUGAACGCUGGCGGCAGGCCUAACACAUGCAAGUCGGGCGGUUGAAGGGAGCUUGCUCCUGGAUUCAGCGGCGGACGGGUGAGUAAUGCCUAGGAAUCUGCCUGGUAGUGGGGGAUAACGUCCGGAAACGGGCGCUAAUACCGCAUACGUCCUGAGGGAGAAAGUGGGGGAUCUUCGGACCUCACGCUAUCAGAUGAGCCUAGGUCGGAUUAGCUAGUUGGUGGGGUAAAGGCCUACCAAGGCGACGAUCCGUAACUGGUCUGAGAGGAUGAUCAGUCACACUGGAACUGAGACACGGUCCAGACUCCUACGGGAGGCAGCAGUGGGGAAUAUUGGACAAUGGGCGAAAGCCUGAUCCAGCCAUGCCGCGUGUGUGAAGAAGGUCUUCGGAUUGUAAAGCACUUUAAGUUGGGAGGAAGGUCAGUAAGUUAAUACCUUGCUGUUUUGACGUUACCAACAGAAUAAGCACCGGCUAACUUCGUG